GUUUUGUAUGAAAGUUGAGAAAGCACUCUUCUUGACCAGGAUGGAAGAGGCCCUCAGACCUUACAACAUGCAUACGGUUAAGGCAUUGCCAUCUACUUUGUGGCAUCUAACCACAGUUUGGG
ensembl:snRNA U6atac minor spliceosomal RNA